rnacentral:rRNA from 1 species
GAUGAACGCUGGCGGCGUGCCUAAUACAUGCAAGUCGAGCGAACAGACGAGGAGCUUGCUCCUCUGACGUUAGCGGCGGACGGGUGAGUAACACGUGGAUAACCUACCUAUAAGACUGGGAUAACUUCGGGAAACCGGAGCUAAUACCGGAUAAUAUAUUGAACCGCAUGGUUCAAUAGUGAAAGACGGUUUUGCUGUCACUUAUAGAUGGAUCCGCGCCGCAUUAGCUAGUUGGUAAGGUAACGGCUUACCAAGGCAACGAUGCGUAGCCGACCUGAGAGGGUGAUCGGCCACACUGGAACUGAGACACGGUCCAGACUCCUACGGGAGGCAGCAGUAGGGAAUCUUACGCAAUGGGCGAAAGCCUGACGGAGCAACGCCGCGUGAGUGAUGAAGGUCUUAGGAUCGUAAAACUCUGUUAUUAGGGAAGAACAAAUGUGUAAGUAACUAUGCACGUCUUGACGGUACCUAAUCAGAAAGCCACGGCUAACUACGUG